UGAAACCAAGCCCUUUGCUCCUUUCUGA
rnacentral:piRNA from 1 species